CCGUUAGUUAACUUAUUGAGUUUGGUCAAUUUGCCUAAAAAUGAUUCCGCUGACAAUUGGAAGUUGUACCCUAACAGAUAUUUUAGGACGGGGCAGUUAUGGCGUCGUCUUUAAGGCAGAAAGAGUCGAGUCGAGGACAAACUUAGCUAUUUUUAAGUUGGGGGAUUGCGUGGUUGAACUCGAGACGACAUUUGCGAUCAAAAUCACACCUCAACUAAAGUAUAAUGAGUUCGUGUUCUUCGCCCAGACUUGCCAUCCCAACAUUGUCCGUUGCCACAACGCUUACAUUGUAACAGACGAAGCAGAGACGUUGCUAAGAAAUGAAGAAAUUGCAAAAAUGUUUUCCGAUGAUAGCUGUGUAACGGAGGAUUCCGCAAAUGGAAGCGUGGACUUGGGGAGAUUUUGUAUUUUCGAAAUGGAGCUUUGCACUGAAGGAAGUUUGGAUAAGUACUUGGACGGCAGGAAAUCCAAGGGGCCAUGUAAGGCGGAAAGCAUGGUUCUCUUUUGUCAACUUGUCGAAGCCUUUGUCUACCUUCAAACAAAGAAAAUUGUCCACGGGGACCUAAAGCCUAACAACGUUUUGCUUUCGAGGAAAGAUUCUUUAUUAGUGGCAAAAUUGGCCGAUCUAGGCCUGACGAUGCAAAAUGGGGGAAUUGACGAGUUUAUGAAAACGUUGCAAGACGGGGACAACCACAAUGAAACUGCCGAAAUAUCAAAUAGACGCCUAUUCCUCUCUCCUGAGCAAGCUGCAAUGCACCUUGCCACAAAACCCAUUCACUUCGGAAUCCACCAAAUUGACGUCUACUCCUUAGGACUAAUCUGGCUCUGUCUUCUGGCACCAACUGAAAAGUCAUACAAUGAAAUCAAGGGGUACGUUAUCGACUGCAUGUUACCUCCAGCUGAACGAAUAACCCCUGACUUCAUUGUUGACCAACAACUGCAAAGCGAAUGGGCUCGAAUUUCGCGAAUGAUUGAUCAUGACGCCACCCGUAGACAGGGAGCGAGUGACAUUCAAUCUUUUAUUGAUAUGCAUACUAAUUAUUUGAAGUCACCUCCACCGCCCGUUGAGGCCAAGUGCAUCCUUUCCGCUCAACGCAGUAGAAUUGAUCGCAUGCAAGGCAUUUGAUAUGGUACAAACACUUCCAAAGGAAACAGCUGAAAGACUGCCAAUAGUGAAUAAUUUACGAAAAAGAGACUACCAUCUUGCAUUGGACAUUCUGCAUGAAGCUACAACCUACCCCGGCUUUGGGAUUAAACCUGAUGACCCUCUGGUGCAACAAUCGCUGAGAAAUUUAAAUACUGUGUUCAACAAAAGGGAGACCCGCAAAGGGGACAUGUGCUAUAUUUAUAAAAAACUCGUGAGAGACAUACAACUCAGAGGGCUCGAUCAUACGCAAAACGAGUAUUUUUUCAGCAUUUAUGGAAAACUGGCCACAUCCCUGACAGGCUACAGGGAUGAGUUCAAGGACGAAGGAAUGACACUUUUAUCAAGUUUAAUCCACAAGUUUGAUCCAAGAAACACCGUGGCAGUAGGUCUACUCUUGACAUAUGUGUCUAAGACAUUAGGACCGAAACGGGCAUGGUAUAACAAGGAGGACAGCUCGUCUACCUCGUAUUCAUUUAGCAACCAGGAAAUGUGCCACAUGCUAUCAAAGUUGGAAGCUUUGUCAGACAAAUUACAGAAGAAACAUAACUUUUGCAUUACAUCGGACAAAGUCGCGGCAAAAUUGUUCAAAAUUACGAUGGUAAUUUUGAGCCGACUUGGUAGGAAUGAUGAAGCUGAAAGCAGGUUUGCUGCCGUUCUGAAAACUCCAACAAAUAAGCAAAAUGCGGAUUGUGCAAAAAUUUUCUUAGAUUUGCAGCGCCACUACUGUCGAUUUCUUAUUGACCAUUGUGACCGCUAUGAGGAUGCUGCAUCCUACGGAAGGGAAAUGUUUAAUAUGCACAUGACCGAUAGAGACCUCGCCGAAGCGUCUGUAGAUUUAAAUUUUCUUAUUAGAAAUCCCUUCGUAACGGAAGAGGAGGAAAAACUUAUGCGUGGUGAACUAUGCGAGUUGGCUUUCUGGGUAAAAUUAGACGCCACGGUGAAUCAUCCACUUCCUGAUCCAGAUAACCUUCGCAAGGCAAUUGAUAUAAUUCAGCUAAUUCAUUGAACCUGUCUUUGUGGCCUUGGAAUAAGUGUAAACUCACCAUGUAUUCCUUCUAAUUCAUUGUAAUGAUAAUAAUUUAUAAAAUAAAAACACAGUUGGUAAAAACAUUAA